rnacentral:rRNA from 1 species
AACGAACGCUGGCGGCAGGCUUAACACAUGCAAGUCGAACGCCCCGCAAGGGGAGUGGCAGACGGGCGAGUAACGCGUGGGAACAUACCCUUUCCUGCGGAAUAGCUCUGGGAAACUGGAAUUAAUACCGCAUACGCCCUACGGGGGAAAGAUUUAUCGGGGAAGGAUUGGCCCGCGUUGGAUUAGCGAGUUGGUGGGGUAAAGGCCUACCAAGGCGACGAUCCAUAGCUGGUCUGAGAGGAUGAUGAGCCACAUUGGGACUGAGACACGGCCCAAACUCCUACGGGAGGCAGCAGUGGUGAAUAUUGGACAAUGGGCGCAAGCCUGAUCCAGCCAUGCCGCGUGAGUGAUGAAGGCCUUAGGGUUGUAAAGCUCUUUCACCGAUGAAGAUAAUGACGGUAGUCGGAGAAGAAGCCCCGGCUAACUUCGUGCCAGCCGCCGCCGUAAUAC